rnacentral:rRNA from 1 species
UACGUAGGGUGCAAGCGUUGUCCGGAAUUAUUGGGCGUAAAGAGCUCGUAGGCGGUCUGUCACGUCGGCUGUGAAAACCGGAGGCUCAACCUCCGGCCUGCAGUCGAUACGGGCAGACUAGAGUUCGGUAGGGGAGACUGGAAUUCCUGGUGUAGCGGUGAAAUGCGCAGAUAUCAGGAGGAACACCGGUGGCGAAGGCGGGUCUCUGGAACGCAACUGACGCUGAGACGCGAAAGCGUGGGGAGCAAACAGG